rnacentral:rRNA from 1 species
CUUGCUAAGUUUGAUGGCGACCGGCGCACGGGUGAGUAACACGUAUCCAACCUGCCCUUUACUCGGGGAUAGCCUUUCGAAAGAAAGAUUAAUACCCGAUGGCAUAGUUCUUCCGCAUGGUAGAACUAUUAAAGAAUUUCGGUCAUCGAUGGGGAUGCGUUCCAUUAGGUUGUUGGCGGGGUAACGGCCCACCAAGCCUUCGAUGGAUAGGGGUUCUGAGAGGAAGGUCCCCCACAUUGGAACUGAGACACGGUCCAAACUCCUACGGGAGGCAGCAUG